rnacentral:lncRNA from 10 species
GCAAGGUGGUUCCAGGUUCUUUCAGCAGCUCGCUGAUGUCAAGGUCAAUGGUCUGGAUCAGCAUCUCUGCUGACCUUCAGGGCUUUACUUCUUGAUCACAAGACAGCUGCAGUAGUGCCGUGAUCAUGUCGUUACACAACUGCAGUCAAGGCAGAAAGAAGGAGAGGCAGCAGGAAAAAAAAAAGGAGUGCAAAAAAGUUUCUUCGAAGCCUCUGAGCAGACUUCAACAUGUUUCAUUGGACAAAAGCCUAUCACAUGACCACCCCUUGACGUCAGUCUGAUGAGGGGAGUAGUCAGCGUUUCUGGCCUUGAUGGAAGAUGGUUAGGGAUGUCAUGACUGGUGGGCCAGCUGGGAUGCCUGCAGCUCUCCUUCUGUAUCUGUCAUCUCCUUUGGACUGAGAGCUCUGUAAGAGCAGGGAUAUUGCUUAUUUCUUUUUUUAUUAUUAUUUUAUUUUGUGUAGAGACAGGGUCUUGCUAUGUUGCCCAGGCUAGUCUCAAUCUCCUGGGCUCAAGCAAUCCUCCCGCCUCAGCCUCCCAAAGUGCUGGGAGUGCAGGCAUGAGCUACUGCGCCCAGCCUGUUUCUUAUUUAUGACUUGGACCUGAUUAUACAGGAGUGUUGUGGUAAGUAACUGGGACAGUGCAUGCUGAGAACUCAUGUGUGCUGAGCCAUCCAAGAGUGGCUGUCGCCAUCAUGAACAAGGAGCAGUCACAGCACCUUCAGCCCCCCAGGGCCCAUCUUGUGUCUUGAACAUAUUUGAUGCUGGGUGCCUGCAUGCUGAAUAGGGGCUGAGAGUGUGGGGUGUGGGUUUUCACUCCUUCCUCCCUGCUCCCCAUGGUCUCAUGAGCAUGUCUAGCAGUGUAACACACCCAUGCUUUUUUGUGUGUUUGAUACAGAGUCUUGCUCUUUCACCCAGGCUGGAGUGCAGUGGCGUGAUCUCGGCCCACUGCAACCUCCGCCUCCCAGGUUCAAGCGAUUCUCCUGCCUCAGCCUCUUGAGUAGCUGGGAUUACAGGCACCUGCCACCAGGCCCAGCUAAUUUUUGUAUUUUUAGUAGAAACGGGGUUUCACCAGGCUGGCCAGGCUGGUCCCGAACUCCUGACCUCAGGUGAUCCACCCUCCUAGGCCUCCCAAAGUGCUAGGAUUACAGGCAUGAGCCGCCGCGCCCAGCCACACCCAUACAUUUUACCAUGAACCUUCACAUCUAUAGGACAACCUCAUCUGUGAGGCAACAUAGCUUGCCAGGAAAAGAGAAAGAGUCAUAUGGAACAUGACACAUUGCAGCCUUGGAAAGGUUAUCCUACCUCUCUGUGCCUCAGUUUCUCUGACUUAAUGAAAGCUAAUUUCUUGAGCCUCUUAGGGCUGUGGAGAUGAAAUAAGAGAUAACACAUGACAAUGCCGGCCCAACAUGGGUGCUCAACUAGUGCCCCUUGUUUGGACUGGCUGAUCCUCCAGGAACCCCCAGGCAGGCAGACGAGACAGGCACUGAGGGCUGGGAAAGGCCAAGUCAGAGUCCACAGACUGGCGAUGCCCAGGAUCAGAGAGGAAGGGCUGAGAGAUGGCCUCGUUCAACACACGUGAAUGAAGAAGGAACAGGAGAGGCCAGGGGCUACCUGCCUCAGAUGGUCCGGCUGUGGUGGGGUGGUGGCCCUAUCCCCCAACUCCUCCCUGCUAACCUGAGGCCAGGAUGCUGUGCCUAGGAGUAGCUGGAUUUUAGUAGGUUCAUCUUCUCAAUUACACAGGACCACAGACUCUUUCAGUAAAGAGCCAGAAAGUAAAUACUUAAGACUUUGCAGGUCAUGCGUGGACUCUGUUGCAUAUCUUUGUUUUUGUUGUUUUGUUUUUCGCUUUUUGUUUUAUAUAAUGCCUAAAAAAUGGCCAGGCACGGUGGCUCAUGCCUGUAAUCCCAGCACUUUGGGAGGCCGAGGUGGGCAGAUCACCUGAGGUCAGGAGUUCAAGACCAGCCUGACCAACAUGGCGAAGCCUCGUCUCUCCUAAAAAUACAAAAUUAGCCGGGCAUGGUGGCACAUGCCUGUAAUCCCAGAUACUCGGGAGGCUGAGGCAGAAGAAUUGCUUGAACCCAGGAGGCAGAGGUUGCUGUGAGCCGAGAUCACGCCAUUGCACCCCAGCCUGGACAACAAGAAUGAAACUCCGUCUCAAAAAAAAAAAAGAGUCUAAAAAAUCUAAGAACCAUCUUGGCACACGAGCUGCAAAGAAAGGAGCUGCAGCUGGAUUUGGCCGCCUGGCUCCCCGACACGUCCUGGCACCCCCGAAGCACUCAAGGAGCUUCCUUGCUUCAUCCCCUGGAGGAAAGCCGGGCCUGGCCAUGGCGCUAUUGUGACGUGGCUCCCAGAGCAGUUUCAGGCCUGUUCUAGCAUCUGGCCGGGGCGGCAGCCUGAGAGCCAUGGAGCCGCUGGGUGCAACACUGUCCUGCCCGUGUGCAUGGAGCUGCUUACGUUGCCUGCACUGCUGCUGUCCUGUUCCCACAACUUCUGCAAACAGUGCCUGGAGCUGAUCUUGGUUUACCAGAAUUGCACCCAGGUCCAGGGAUGGUUCUGUUGUCCAGUGUGUAGGAAAGUAAGAGGAAAAUCAGGGCCCUUUGACUCCACGAGGGAGCAGACUUCUUUCUGGUCUGCACUCUUCGAACUCUAGCCCAUGAGAAAACUGGGGACUUUGGGCCCCAAAAUGAAGACCAGCAAGGCAGACCCACAUCUCUGAAGGGUUGUGAGAGGGCAUCGGCAGGGGAGGACAGGCUUUUCCUUUAGGCUUAGAAGAUCCAUCAGGACCCACAGGGAGGAGCUACAGGAGGAUGUACAUUGUGGCCUAAGGUUGGAGAGAACUUUCUUACAGAACAGCUUGUUCAGUAUGCGCUGGGGUAGGUAGGGCCAUUUAUUAGCACUUGCUAGGUGCCUUGUCACUGUGGUGGAAGACCAGAGAAGCAGAGCUGAUGAGGGUUCAGAUUUCACCCUUUAAGGAGAGAUAGACCACACAUAUAAUGGGAGACCCCACAGUGCAGGUCUGCAAUGCACCGCAGGGGACAGGAAGGCCACAGGGGAGGCACUGCUGCAUAGAAUCUACGGUAGGACUGAUGCUGAUGGAGAGGGCAAUCUAGGAAGAGACAGUGGCAGAUAGCAAGGCCCGAGAAAGAGAGCCUAAGAAAGGAGGUGCUUAAGGGCCUGGCCCAGAGAUCACGGAGGCUUGAGCAUAAGGUGCUGUGGGAGACACCUGGGGCUUUAGGGUACCCACCCGAAGGGUAAGUAGGACAUAUUCCAGGAGGCCCUACACAUCAAGCAAAGGGCUUUGCAUUUUAUCCUGUAAGCAGAGGGGAGCUAGUGACAUAUUUUAACCUGGAAAGGGUCAUCAUAACGUUGACUUCUGAAAGCACAAUGUCACAUGCUCUCAUGGAAAUUCUUUGUGUAACAUUUCGCCAGCUGGACUGUAGGAAUCAUGACUGGUGUUGCCCCAGACCCUUUGGAUAUUUGUGGAAGGAAGGAAGGAAAUCUAGAAGGAAUAGGUUGCAGGCAGAGGAAUCCUGAGGGGCUGGAGGGCAGGGAGAGAGGCAGGCGGUCAUCACCUGGCUUUUGGGGGAGGGGUGCCAUGAGGUGACUGCAGAGACAGGGGCAACAGCUCAGAAGCACCACACAUUUGGAUGGAUCAUUUUAUUUGUCAACCUGGAAUUUUCACUUAUUUGUAUGUUUAUUUUUAAAUCAUAUCAAAGAAAUAGUGUAGAAAAGAGUUUAUAAUGAAAAGCAAUGCUGCCAUCCCACCCCUAGUCCCACUCUCCAGAGGCAAUCUCUCCUAACUUUUUCUACCUCAUUCUUCCUGCAGUCACCACCAUAGCUCUGAGUAUGUGUUUAUCUCACCAUUCUUCGCCCACUGGUUUUAGACGCUACUGGCAUUUGCUGCCUCUCCGACGACUGAGCUUCUCGUGCACAGCUCCUUCCUCAUCUUCCCUCCCUGAGCAGGUCCAUGGCAACCUUAAUUUCUCUAUUGUGAUUUUAAGUUAAUGCACCAAGCAACUAGAGAUAAUGGCACCCUCUGAAGCUCCACUUUGUAAGGGAGGCGGUCCUUGUCCCCUGCCCUGCUCUCUGGCUUUCCUGCUCCCAGGUGACAGACACACAGGCUCCUCAGACUCCGGGAGCCCAUAAGGAACCUGCAAAGGGCACAGGAAGUACACUGGAGGUCUUCGCAGAAAUUUUGUUGAGCCUGGAUUUGGGGGUUGGGCAGGUCAUGCAGGUGCGGUCCCAAGAGGGUUGAGCAGAAGUAGCUGUGCGUCCUCACCCUGACAGAACACAGAGGAUUGAGCAGAGGGACAGUGCUGGCUGGGAUACUGGCUGCACCUGCGGCCUAGAAGGGCGGGAAAGAGCUUUGGACUGAUUGAGUAGAGGCAGAGAUUUGAGAAGGGAGGGAGGAAGAGGACUGGUGUGCCCAGCUCUGAAGGCAGACCCUCUGGGACAUUUUCAGUGCUCUUCAGUUUUCUUUGAAAAGAAAAAAGGCCCAGAUCCCAGGCGCAGGCCCAUUCAUCUUCCCUGGAGUAUUCAUUCUGCUGAAUCCUGGAAAAGAUUUAUACACCAGCAGCAUUCUGUAGUGAGUGUUAUGCUGGAAUUCAAACCCAGGUCCACCUCUUUUCAAGACAAGUUCUUUUCUCAUUUCCGAGGCACCAGGGAAAAGAAAUCACUUCCCUGCACUGGUUCUGUUGGGGCCAAAAGAUCAGGAGAUGAUUGCCAUUGAAAAGGUAGUUUGUUACUCAGAGUUCCCAAGAGGAGGGAGCCCCCCACCACGCAGGGCCACAUGGGGAAGCCCCAGGGUUGAUCAGGAAGCAAAAGGAAUGGCAGGGAACUGUGGUCCAGGGCCUUUGCUGUGGUUUCCACAGGAAGAAAUGGGGAGGGGAGGGUAAGCAGGCUAAAGACUGGCUAGUGUGAAUCAUUUCAGUGGGCUCUGAGGCAUAGGAGCUGUGCCUUGCUCUCUGGUAAUUAGGGCAGAUGGACAGUGGCCUGCGUGUGAGAAGGUUGGAUGGUUGGGGGUGUGGGAUCUGGGUUGGUUGGUUUGCAUCUGAAAAGCACAGUCCCAGGUGAGAUCCUUUACUCUGUCUAGGAGUUGGCUAACCCUGGGAGGGCAGGCCCCAGGUGCCAAAACAUCAAAAUACAGAAAAUAAAAGACACAGUGAGACCUGGUCCUUCGUUCUCUGCACUCCACUGGCAUAUCCAACUGUGCAGUCAUUGACUGUGAGCAUUUCUUACCACUGGACUGAGUUUCUGUGGAAGACAGAGUAGGUCCUAACCAAAACUCAAUGGACUGAAGGAACGCAGAUUCCAGUUUCACCUGAUGGAGUUUGUAGUGACUUUCACAACAGAUACUGGUAACAGGCCCACAGCAGGGCCAGCCUGGAAGUGUCAUCGUGCAGGGUUCUCACAGUCACUUCCCUCUCCAGGUCUUGUCAGCCUUCCCCAGGGUGGAAUGUGAGUUCUUUCCUCCUCCCAGAUGGUGUUUUAGUGACCAGGAAGGGACAUAUUUCAACCUCCCCCAAAGAUGAGGUGGCCUUUGGCCUCAGGAAUUUGCCACAAACUCAUGUGAUCUCUGUGUUUUAGGACAUUUAUUUGAAGGGCAGGGGAACAAAUGGAUUGCAGGGAAACAUCCUGGCUGAAAAUAUCCUGGAAAAGCUUAAGGAAGUACUUGAGACACUUCACACCGGGGAGCAAAACCAGCUCGCUCAGAUGUGUGAAAAGCGUGGAAAAAUCAUGAAUCUGGUAUUAAAUUAUACUUUUUAAAAUUUUCUUUUUGCCUAGCUGCCCAAUCUGUCAAAUUACUCGGUAAGCCUACAUAGUUGAAACCAGAUGUUUACUCAGGAGUAUAGUAGAGGAUUACUUUCCAAAUCCACAGCCCAGUGCUAACUUUAUUCUUGAUUUGUAACGUGGAGCCCAG